UACGGAGGGUGCAAGCGUUAUCCGGAUUCACUGGGUUUAAAGGGUGCGUAGGAGGGCAGGUAAGUCAGUGGUGAAAUCUCCAAGCUUAACUUGGAAACUGCCGUUGAUACUAUCUGUCUUGAAUACCGUGGAGGUGAGCGGAAUAUGUCAUGUAGCGGUGAAAUGCUUAGAUAUGACAUAGAACACCGAUUGCGAAGGCAGCUUGCUACACGAUCAUUGACACUGAGGCACGAAAGCGUGGGGAUCAAACAGG
rnacentral:rRNA from 1 species